UAUAUGGAUUUCUGCAUUAUAAAACUCUCUGGUUCCAUCCCACUCAAAAUUGUUCCCUCUCAAAAACUUGUUUACCUUGAUUUGUCCACCAAUCAAUUUUGGGGAACAUCCACCAGACAUGGGCCUUGCUAACAAAUAUCGAACCUCACCUGCACCACAAACCAGGUGAAUGGGCUCAAUUCCUCAAGAGAUAAGCCAGUGUUAAAGUCUCUUCAGAGCUGCUUUGGGCACAAUCGUCCUCAGUGGUCCCAUUCCGGCUUCUUUGGGUAAUUUGAGCAACUUGACGCUCUAUAUCUCUACGGAAAUCAACUUUCUGGCUUCCAAUCACCAGAGACUUGGACAUUAUCGGUAAUCUCGUGUUGCUUACAUGCGAUUCAUAACAAAUCUAAAAUGUCCUAUUCCUUCAACUUUGUGAACUUGAAUAGGCUAAAUUGGUUGUCCUGUUUGUGAACAAACUUUCUGGUUCCUUCCUCAAGAAUUGGAAACUUGAAGUCCCUCAUCAAUUUAGACUUGAGCCAGGAAUCAAAUCAAUGUACCAUUCCUCCUCGUUAGGUAACCUGUCCAAAUUAGAAACACUAUACUUGCGUGACAACCAACUUUUCUGGUCCCAUUCAACGAAUUCGGUUAAUUUGAAAAACUGAUAUAUGCGAAAUGGAUACAAAUCAGGUUCUGGCCACUACCGGAGAUUUGUGCAAGGUGGGAAACUUCAAAAAUCGUCACGGUGCAAAACAAUCAGCUCACGGGACCAAUCCCCAAAAGUUGAGGGACUGGUAAAGCUAGUCAGAGUCCGCCUUGAAGGAAACCAUUCAACUGGAAGCCUAUCUGAAGCAUUUGGCGUCUAUCCAAAUCUAAUACUUGGAUCUAAGUCGCAAUAAUUAACUUUCGUGGUUGUUGAAAUAUCGAAAACACUGGAGAGUAGGCUGCCCCCAAUUGCAAAAUUUAGCGAUGGCAGGCGAGGGAACAAUAUAAACGGCAGCAUUACCACCAGGUUAGGAGAUUCGCCUCAACUUCAGAGGCUUAACCUUUUUCCAAUCAUUGACGGGGAGAUCAAAAAGGAAUUAGGAAAGUUUAAUUCUCGCUGGAACUCUAUCUGGCAGACAAACAACAUUCCGGAGUAUACUACCAGCACGUGGACUCCCUGGACUAAAUUGCCAGAAGCUUGAACUGUCAAAAAACAGAUUGUAAGUGGGGCAAUAGCAGCUGGAACAUUGGGAGCAUUGUUAUGCAACUGAUGAUUAAACUUGAAUUUGAGAGCAAUUAAUUUUAGCCAAGACCAUCCCAGAGCGGCGAAAUAAAUUACUCACUGCGACCUGGAUAUGAGUCAUAAUUAACUCUAGGGAGAUACCAUCGAGAUCAGAAGUUUCCAGAGUUGGAGUGGUUAGCCUCUCCCACAAUAAUCUUUCCUGUUCCAUCCAAAGGCAUUUGAAUGAAGAAUGCAUUGUUGCAGCACGUGAUAAUCCAUACAAUGAGUUGGAGGGUCCCAUUCCCACAGCAAAAGCCUUUUGCAUGCUCUCCAUAGAGGCACUGCAAGGGAACAAAGAUUUGUGUGGAAAUGUCACAGAAUUGAAGCCUUGCAAAAAUCAUGACGCAGAGAACAAAAAGACUUCACGGCAUAACCGGAUUCUUAUUCUUAUA
rnacentral:lncRNA from 1 species